UACGUAGGGGGCUAGCGUUGUUCGGAUUUACUGGGCGUAAAGCGCGCGUAGGCGGGUCGUUAAGUCAGGGGUGAAAUCCCGGAGCUCAACUCCGGAACUGCCUUUGAUACUGGCGGCCUUGAGUCUGGAAGAGGGUAGUGGAAUUCCCAGUGUAGAGGUGAAAUUCGUAGAUAUUGGGAAGAACACCAGUGGCGAAGGCGGCUAACUGGUCCAGAUCUGACGCUGAGGUGCGAAAGCGUGGGGAGCAAACAGG
rnacentral:rRNA from 1 species